rnacentral:rRNA from 1 species
UUUUGCAGCUUAUUCAUUUUGAAAUUUCAGAAGCUAAGCAAGACUGGGCCUGGUCAGUACUGGGAUGGGAGACCUUCUGUAUCAGGAAAACCAGGGUGCUGCUGUAU